UACGAAGGGUGCAAACGUUGCUCGGAAUUAUUGGGCGUAAAGCGCACGUAGGCGGCUUUGCAAGUCCCAUGUGAAAUCCCACGGCUCAACCGUGGAAGUGCAUGGGAAACUGCAGAGCUUGAGUACUUAAGAGGAUCGCGGAAUUCCCGGUGUAGAGGUGAAAUUCGUAGAUAUCGGGAGGAACACCAGUGGCGAAGGCGGCGAUCUGGGAAGAUACUGACGCUGAGGUGCGAAAGCGUGGGGAGCAACAGG
rnacentral:rRNA from 1 species